rnacentral:rRNA from 1 species
UACGAAGGGUGCAAGCGUUACUCGGAAUUACUGGGCGUAAAGCGUGCGUAGGUGGUUCGUUAAGUCUGUCGUGAAAGCCCCGGGCUCAACCUUUGAAUGCCGCUGGAAACUGCCUGGCUUGAGUCCGGAAGGGGCGAGUGGAAUUCCUGGUGUAGCGGUGAAAUGCGCAGAUAUCAGGAGGAACACCAAUGGCGAAGGCAGCUCGCUGGAACGGUACUGACGCUGAGGCGCGAAAGCGUGGGGAGCGAACAGG